rnacentral:lncRNA from 1 species
AGGGGCCGCGCUUCGACCCGGUAACUUAGAAGAUGAUAAUUAAUGUGGUUGCUGAUAAUUCUGAAUAAAUACAGCUUUUAUCCCAGGUGUGCCAUUUUGAAGACUGAGACCAUAGAGUUCUAAGAAUAAAGGAAAGAGCCCUUGGGAAAUUAUUAUAUAUAGCAAAAAUGUGAAUCCUCAGAUGGAAUGAAAGGCCUGCACCAUAGACAUCGAAGCAUUUAGUAAGUCUUUAC